rnacentral:lncRNA from 1 species
GGAAGUUGUCAUUUGGAAGAUAGGCUGUUGUUUUGGGGCUUCAGCCAUUUCAGACCACCACCAUAAUGAGUCAACAAUUCAUACUUGGGCACGAAACUGUCACUAAGGACCCGAGGUGAGACUCCUCCCUAGGGAAGCCCUGGCAAAAACUCAAAGUGCAUCUGAGAAGAGAGCAGUGUGGUGAGCAGCCAUGGUCCUCCUCUGUGUGCCAGGCCCCUGAGCCACCCGGAAGAAAGGGCACUGGAGUUGCCUGGAAGCUACGCCCCGCAGGGACGGGACAGGCAGUUCUUUAUUCGAGACAAGAAGAACCUGGAAAUCAAGAGGCAAGCACCCCAAAACCAGGCAACAUUAUUUGUCAUAGCCAACCAGGAGACCAGAACAGGAAUGAUGAUGAUGAAGAAGGUGAUGAUCACCCUUUGCCAAGCACUGACAGUACCCCCAAAACGUGCCUGAGCUCUUCGCCUUCCUUCUGUCACCCACCUUCACGGCAACUCUUGGGCAGGUGCGGCCGCUGUACGUGGCAGUGACCACCCACCCGCUUCAAGCACCACCGCCACUGUGCCUGCAGGAAAGGCUUUCAUCCGCGUGUCUCCCACACUCACAGAGCUUUGGUUUCUGGUUUCUGCAGCAUGACUAGGAUAUGAGUAAAGUGCCACCCGCUGACUUGAGGCACCAAGGCCUUUCUUUUCAUUCCAGUGCCAGAUAUACCUGAGGUACUCAAAAGGAAAAGAUGCUUUCUUCAAUCGUUUAUUUCUAGGAGCGUUGUGUAGCAGGUGUAAAUUCUCCUUGCAUUAUUUAGGCAUGUUGAUUUGUUCCACUCUGGGUUUACUCAAUGAAGGGCUCUACUUCACAGAUUGUUCCUGGAUGCAGGCUGCUUUAAGACUGAACUAAAUUUUUGAAGCCAUAAACGAAAAUAAAAGCCACAAAAGCAAAAGUAAUCUUCCCUGUAAUCCGGGACAAGUGCCUCUGAUUUCAGCACUGGAUUUUCUUUGACACUGCACGGAGAUGCUGUCGUGCCGGCUGUUCCUUCUCCUGCAGUUACCUGGUGACACGAGCUCUCUGCCACCUGUUUUCUGUCCUGCAGCGUGUGGCCCAAGGAGCAGCAGCGCAGUCAGGACACACACAGUCUGAGGAAGCUGAAGUGUGCAGAAGACAAUGUA